GUCGUGACGCAGUUCCACGCGUGGUGGCACAUUUUGACGGGCCUCGGCUCCUACCUUCACAUCUUGUUCAGCUUGUACUCAAGGACGCUUUACCUGAAGUACCGGCCAAAGGUGAAGUUUCUCCUCGGCAUCUGGCCCGUCCUUUUAGUGGAGUUGCCCAAGAAGCAGUGACCGAGACCUCUCCAUUUUGGCCGGAAGACACUUGGCCUCGGAUGCACCGGGAAGUUGCGCAAUGCGUUUCGACAGACAUGUCCUCUUGGCGCUGUCAAGAACUCUUCCCCCCCUCCCCUCCCCUCUGUUUCUGGAACAACAGAGAACCAUGCAGAGCCAAAAAGCCCGCAUGUCAAGGAAGCCACGACGGGUUGGGGGUCUUUUGCGAGGCAUGGAAAAUAGAAUUGGAUGGCAGUAUCUUUGAUGUCUUUGUAAAGCCGGAGAAGUUGGGCUAGUGCGUGGCGCUGCUCUCAGCCAGUGGACACCCUUUCUUUUGGAAGCAGGUGACCGAGAGUCCCAAUCGCUGGCUGGUUAAAACGAAUGUUUGUCACCGAAUCAUGAAAAGCGUUGGAGUCCCAUGGGCGCCAGCCAUCCGUUUUGGUUUAUAAGAGAGACUUGGGUUUUCUGAGGGGCAUUUUAUCUGUUAGUACAUCGUAACGGUUGUUGUAACUUGGGCCUUUGUUCUGUUACAUGCUCGAAACCAGUUUCCAAGG